CGGAACUGUUCUACUCCACAUGUCUUCAUUUCAUCGGGCAGAUAAGCGCUGACAUCUCACCACACUUAAUACAAAAACAUACUACCCGGGGGUCGCUACAGCGGAAUCGACAGUUUCCAUCGGUACCCUGUGAGGGCACAACACCGAUGGCGGUCUUGUCAAUCCGCAUAAUGAUCUGGCAAAAUUUUACGUCGGAUGCCCUUCCUGACACAACCACUAACCCUAUGGACGAAAGUGGACAGAGGAUGAGGACACACGUUGACCAGGUGCGAG